rnacentral:lncRNA from 1 species
CUGCAUUUUGCAUGAGCUAUCUAGGUCAUUAGCAUUUUAGCGUAUGCAAGACUUGACAAGGCUGAUGAGGGGCCAGAUGGGCCUCGCUCUUAUUUUUUUUUUUUUUUUUCUUUUCCUUUUUCCCAUCCACCACUUGGGACCUAAGCGAGAGGACCGCAGCAGGAGAGUUCCGGAAGGCUGAUUCCCACAGAUCCUGGUAAGGGACCGCAGCAGCUCUGCCCUGAGGCACGCCCGGCCAGGCUGCACCAGGACUCUACACUCAAGGAAAAAGCUUGGAAACGAAAGGAUGCGGGAGAACAAAGAGCCUACGGAGGACGUGGCUGUUAUCUCAUUGUCUGUGACUGGGGGAGCUGCGGUAGGAAGGAUGCGGUGGUCCUUAGCUCAUCGCGUUCCCCAACCCCACACCCUCCCUGCUGUCAGUGCGCACGCACACGCACGCGUCGCCAGCUUUUUCUUUCUCAUCUCUCGUUUUUUUCAUCUCAUCUUCUCCCCAUCCCCUCCCUUUCUUUCCACCUUUCCUUCCUUUCUUCCUCCCUCCCUUUCUCCCAUCCUCCCUCCCUCCCUUCCAUCCUUCCUUUCCAUCCUUCCUUCUUUCUCUCCUUCCUUCCUUCUUUCUUUCCUUCCUUCCUUCUUCCUUCCUCAGGAGAAAGGCCUCUCUCUCCGUGUUCACAGCGGACCUUGAU